rnacentral:rRNA from 1 species
GCAAGUCGAACGGCGGCACGGGUGCUUGCACUUUGAUGACGAGUGGCGCACGGGUGCGCAACGCGUAUAGAACCUACCCUGUACAGGGGGAUAGCCCAGAGAAAUUUGGAUUAAUACCCCGUGGUAAAUAUAAAUGGCAUCAUUUAUAUUUUAAAGUUUUCGGACGGUACAGGAUGGCUAUGCGUCCUAUUAGUUAGAUGGCGAGGUAACGGCUCACCAUGGCAGCGAUAGGUAGGGGCCCUGAGAGGGGGAUC